GACGAACGCUGGCGGCGUGCUUAACACAUGCAAGUCGAACGGAAAGGCCCUGCUUUUGUGGGGUGCUCGAGUGGCGAACGGGUGAGUAACACGUGAGUAACCUGCCCUUGACUUUGGGAUAACUUCAGGAAACUGGGGCUAAUACCGGAUAGGAGCUCCUGCUGCAUGGUGGGGGUUGGAAAGUUUCGGCGGUUGGGGAUGGACUCGCGGCUUAUCAGCUUGUUGGUGGGGUAGUGGCUUACCAAGGCUUUGACGGGUAGCCGGCCUGAGAGGGUGACCGGCCACAUUGGGACUGAGAUACGGCCCAGACUCCUACGGGAGGCAGCAGCGGGGAAUAUUGCACAAUGGGCGGAAGCCUGAUGCAGCAACGCCGCGUGCGGGAUGACGGCCUUCGGGUUGUAAACCGCUUUCGCCUGUGACGAAGCGUGAGUGACGGUAAUGGGUAAAGAAGCACCGGCUAACUACGG
rnacentral:rRNA from 1 species